GAUCUCAUAAUCCAAUCUCUUGGGGCCAGCAUCCUCAUGAGCACACCACCUAGUGUCUGGCUAUGGUACCAUUUGUAACAGCCCAUGUCCCACCGCUAGCAAAUAUUGU